rnacentral:rRNA from 1 species
UACGUAGGGUGCGAGCGUUGUCCGGAAUUAUUGGGCGUAAAGAGCUUGUAGGCGGUCUGUCGCGUCUGCUGUGAAAAUCCGGGGCUCAACCCCGGACUUGCAGUGGGUACGGGCAGACUAGAGUGUGGUAGGGGAGACUGGAAUUCCUGGUGUAGCGGUGAAAUGCGCAGAUAUCAAGCAGAACACCGGUGGCGAAGGCGAGUCCCUGGACAACACCUGACACUGAGGCACGAAAGCUAGGGGAGCAAACAGG